CCCUGGUUGCCAGAGGUUCUGUAUCUUUCGCUUUAUUCUUGAGCGAAUAAUUAAUAUAUUAAAAUAAUUAUGAGCGAGAAUAAGGCGAAAGAUACAGAACCUCUGGCAACCAGG